GCUGAGGAGAAGGAUGUGGGGCACUGCCCUCCCUGGCUCUGCCUGGGGCCCCAGCCUGCUCUGCUGUGUCACUGUCUUUCUCCUGGGAACAAGUUCAGCAGAUCCUGGGGUCAUCCAGUCUCCAAGACACAUAAUCAAAGCAAAGGGAGGAAGGUCCAUUCUCAAAUGUACUCCCAUCUCUGGACAUGCCAGUGUGUUCUGGUACCAGCAAACUCUGCAGCAGGAACUGACGUUCCUCAUUCAGCAUUAUGAAAAAAAUGGAAAGAGAGAAAGGAAACAUACCCAACCGAUUCUCAGUCCAGCAGUUCCGUGACUUUCACUCUGAGAUGAACAUGAGCGCCUUGCAGCUGGAGGACUCAGCUGUGUACUUCUGUGCCUGCUCACCACAGCCUCUUGGAGGCUCCUGUAUACAAGUGAGUCCUGGAAAGGCCACAGGUGUGCUGUUCUCAACAGAAUUCCCAAGUCCUUUAGCUAAGAUGACAUCAUCAGGCUCUGUCUUUCUCUAUUACAGAACAUAUGUAAUCACCCAAAGCCCAAGAAGCAAGAUGGCAGUAACAAGAAGAAAGGUGGAACUGACCUGUUUUUAG